GUAACGGCUAGUUCUGCAGAUGUACUUUUUGUCCUUCCCAAGGUCAGUAACGGCUAGUUUUUGAAUUCUAACCAUUGGAGCUUGACCAAAGGAUGUGGGAAGCUAUUUAAAGGGGCACUAUUCAUCAGAUAGAAUAACUUUUGAAAGAGAUAUCAAAGAGUACACAAGAAAACAAAAGUGCCCUAAUCUUCUUCAUUCAAGUGCUUCAUUCAACAAUCAAAGAAAGGGGUUGAGCAGAUUCAAAGAGUCAUCAAGAGCUCCAUCCUCCCUUGAAGAGUGAAGCAUCCUUGACAAAGAAGAGCAAAGCCACUUCAAAGCGAUAAAUACUUUCUAACUCUUCUUUGUAGUUAAUAUUGUUUCAUUUGCUCAUUUAGGAGUUUGAAUCUUUCCUUUUUGUUUAUCAAACUAUUUGUAAAGGUUCGUUGGUGAGCCCGUNN
rnacentral:lncRNA from 1 species